rnacentral:rRNA from 1 species
UACGGAGGGUGCAAGCGUUAUCCGGAUUCACUGGGUUUAAAGGGUGCGUAGGCGGAUAGGUAAGUCCGUGGUGAAAUCCUGCAGCUUAACUACAGAACUGCCAUGGAUACUAUCUAUCUUGAAUGUCGUGGAGGUUAGCGGAAUAUGUCAUGUAGCGGUGAAAUGCUUAGAGAUGACAUAGAACACCCAUUGCGAAGGCAGCUAACUACGCGAUAAUUGACGCUGAUGCACGAAAGCGUGGGGAUCAAACAGG